ACACCUCUCGGCCUUUGAGAGGACCAGAGAGCAGGACGGUGCCACAGCCCUUGGGGGACUCUAGGGCCGCGGCGGGCCCGGCUGGUCAUGCGCAGCGCACAAACCUUCAGUUUGGGCACCUCCUGAACCCGCACAUCAUCCCUUAUAGUCCCCACAACCACGGCGGUUUUGUUUUCCCGGCCAGGAAGCUUCAUCUUGCGGAUUAUCCGGAAAAGGGGCAGAGGUGGGCCCUUGGUGCGACUCCUAAACAACCUCUUCAGCACAACCUGGUUGAAUGUGGAGUUGGUUCGUCUGGCCAGAAACCUGUACAGCUUGACCAACAGCCUCAGCAGCCGUGUAAGAUGUGCCUGCUUCCCCCUCGCCUUCUGGCAUGACUGUAAGUUUGCUGAAGCCUCCCAGCCAUGCAUCCUGUAAAGCCUGUGGAACUGCAAGAUGUGUCUUUCACUGUCCACCAUGAUUGUGAGACCUCUCCAGCCACAUGGAACUGUGAGUCUAUUAAACCUCUUUUUCUUUGUAAAUUACCCAGUCUCAGGUAGGUCUUUACCAGCAGUGUAAAAACAGACUAAUUCAGUAAAUUGGUACCAGGUAGCGGGGUACUGUUGUAAAGAUACCCGAAAGUGUGAAAGCAACUUUGGAACUGGGUAACAGACAGAAGUUAAAACAGUUUGGAGGGCUCAGAAGAGGACAG
rnacentral:lncRNA from 10 species